GCCUGGGUGGCUCAGUCGGUUGAGCGUCCGACCCUAGCUCAGGUCAUGAUCUUGCAGUUUGUGAGUUCGAGCCCCACCUCGGGCU
rnacentral:tRNA from 1 species